UUUUCUGGUUGCAGCCUAAGUAAUUAGGCUGAUGGCUGGUGACUUUUUAGUCACCAGCCU
rnacentral:sRNA from 3 species